GCGCUCAUAGCUCAGCUGGAUAGAGCACUUGGCUACGAACUAAGGGGUCGGGAGUUCGAAUCUCUCUGAGCGUACCA
rnacentral:tRNA from 1 species